GACGAACGCUGGCGGCGUGCUUAACACAUGCAAGUCGAACGGAAAGGCCCAGCUUGCUGGGUACUCGAGUGGCGAACGGGUGAGUAACACGCGGGUGAUCUGCCCUGCACUCUGGGAUAAGCCUGGGAAACUGGGUCUAAUACCGGAUAUGACCGACUGUCGCAUGGUGGUUGGUGGAAAGCUUUUGCGGUGUGGGAUGGGCCCGCGGCCUAUCAGCUUGUUGGUGGGGUAAUGGCCUACCAAGGCGACGACGGGUAGCCGACCUGAGAGGGUGAUCGGCCACACUGGGACUGAGACACGGCCCAGACUCCUACGGGAGGCAGCAGUGGGGAAUAUUGCACAAUGGGCGCAAGCCUGAUGCAGCGACGCCGCGUGAGGGAUGACGGCCUUCGGGUUGUAAACCUCUUUCACCAGGGACGAAGCGUGAGUGACGGUACCUGGAGAAGAAGCACCGGCCAACUACGUG
rnacentral:rRNA from 1 species